CCCACGGGAGGCAGCAGUGAGGAAUAUUGGUCAAUGGUCGGGAGACUGAACCAGCCAAGCCGCGUGAGGGAUGAAGGUACAGAGUAUCGUAAACCUCUUUUGUCAGAGAACAAAGGCGGGGACGCGUCCCCGGAUGAGUGUACCUGAAGAAAAAGCAUCGGCUAACUCCGUGCCAGCAGCCGCGGUAAUACGGAGGAUGCGAGCGUUAUCCGGAUUUAUUGGGUUUAAAGGGGGCGCAGGCGGGCUGUUAAUUCAGCGGUCAAAGCCCCGGGCUCAACCCCCGCCCGGCGUUGAAACUGGCCGUC
rnacentral:rRNA from 1 species